rnacentral:misc_RNA from 1 species
UCCGAUUUGACACCGGCAGUCUCGCUAGAGUCCUCGGCGGCCCGAAGGCCCCGUUAGCAACUAGCGACAGGGGUUUCGCUCGUUAAGGGACUUAACCCAACACUUCACAGCACGAGCUGACGACAGCCAUGCAGCACCUGUGCACGUUCCACCCUUGCGGGCGUGGCUCCUGUUUCCAGGAGUUAAUCCGUGCAUGUCAAGCCCAGGAUAAGGUUCUUCGCGUUGCUUCGAAUUAAGCCACAUGCUCCACCGCUUGUGUGAGCCCCCGUCAAUUCCUUUGAGUUUUAGCCUUGCGACCGUACUCCCCAGGCGGUGCACUUAACACUUUUGCUUCGGCCCGGAUCGGGUCAGACCGACCCUGACCUAGUGCACAUCGUUUACGGCGUGGACUAC